AAUAAGAAGCGAUGAUUGCAUUCAGUUUCGACCUGACCCUAGGUGGUAACACCCUUAUUU
rnacentral:tRNA from 1 species